rnacentral:lncRNA from 1 species
UUCGUGGGUGUCUUCAGAUAAAAACACUCUCCCUCCUCCCAGGCAGGAGCUGUUUCCAAACAAACUUUGAUAUUUAACUUUCAGUGGCUUUCCGGAUACUAGCAUCUGAGUGUCAUGAGAUAACACUAAGAACACAUUACAAGAUCGGAGACAAGGACUCUGCUGUGAAUUCACCUGUGCCCGAACACCGCCUAUCAGAUGACUCACUUCGAAAACCGCAGAACAGCUAGCACAAAGUGUUCCACUCCUCUCCCUAGCAACCCUCGAAGCCUGUUGUAGAUACUACCGCUGCGCGUCGGGUGGUGGUGGUGGGGGGGCUGCGGUGCUAUGGCGCAUGCGCCGUAGCCAGGGACCGCACGUGUGUUGUGUGGGGGUGCCCUCCAGUGCGCAGGCGCAGAUCCCAGCGGGCGGUGAGGUUUUCUGGCUCUGAGCAGCUCCUGGUUUUCUUGGGUAGAGGGUACAGUUUUGUUUCCUCCUUUGGCUUCCUCGUGUCCUAAGUUCUGUUGCGAGAUUCUCUUCUUCCUGUGCUCCCAGUUUGGGUCUCGUCUGGCAGAAGGUUUCCAGGAAUUUGACAAAUCAUCCCUGAGCGUUGUACACACCUGUUAAUCUAUUUCCAAUCUCGGGCCAGUCCAUGCAAAUCCAAUGAAUUGAGAAGCCGAGUAGGAAUUCCAUUUACCUGGUGUCAGUUUCCAAAAGUAAAAGACCUUUGGAACUUAACUCUAUAAAGAAUCGCGUCUCUCAUGGUCCCCAGUGCCUGCCAUAUGGUAAGACCUCUACUCAGAACAAAGAAUCCGGCCUGUCCUCCCUCUGGAGAUGGCGUGCAUUCUUCCUUGAAUAUGUGCCUACUUUUCUAAAGAAGCCUCUGCCUCUGAGGGGAAAAAGAAAUCCACCUUUUUGGUCUUGUCAAAGAUAAAGCCACUACUUAAAGUGAAGACAGGUUUUAAUUGGUAGUAUGCUGUUAUAAUAGGGAGGAUUCCAGCAUGAACUGAACUGAACUUCAGGUUGAACCGAGGUGAUAGUAAAGGAAUAGGGGAAUGGAGUGGUAGUGAAGGAAUGGGAACUGGGAGGUUCAGCAUUGGGGCAAUGAAAAGUUACAAAAUAAGAAGGAAGGGGUUGGUCCGUGUGCAAUCCAUCUAGGUUCACUGUUAAAUGGAGAUUAAGGAAGUUUGGCUCCCAUCUUCCCAGAGAGGCUGAGAGACAGGGACACAAUCUCAGGUGGUGGCUGGAAUAAAUAAUAAACUCUUUUGACAGCCUUGAGAUUUCUCAGGCGGAUGUUUUAAGCAGGUCCUGGGUGUUAUAGUUUGGCUCUGGAAUUCUCCCAAAGACUAAUGUGUUGAAGGCUUGGUCUCCAAUUUAGCUUUGCUCAGAAGUGGGACUCUUGGGAAGUGAUUGGAUCAUGAUGGCUCUGAUCUCAUUUGGAUAAAUCCAUGGAUGGAUUAAUAAUCUGAUUGUAUUAUUCGGGUAGGGAUGGAAACUGUAGGAGGUGAGGACUCAUUGCAGGAAGUAGGUCACUGGGGCAUGCCCUGGAUGGUUAUAUCUUGUUCUUAGCCCCUUCCUCCUCCUCUCUGUUUCUAAGGUCUCUCCCUCUCUCCUUUUCAGAUGCUUGAGGUAAUGAUUUUUCCUUCACCAUGCCCUUCUGCCAUGAUGUUUUUGCCUUGGAACCAACUGACCAUGGACUGAAACCUCAAAACUCUGAGCCAAAAUGAAUCUUUCCUUCUGUAAGUUGAUUUUCUCAACUAAUUUUGUCACAGCAGUGGAACACCUACUAACACACUCGGUCAUCCUGGGGCUGUGGUACAGAGCUGUUAGAAAUUGCAUUAGUGUUUUGUUCAAAUCCCUGGAGGUUAGUUGAGAAAGGACUCAGAAGAACCUGGCUGGAAUUUGAUCAAGGAGAGACUCUUUGUCACUCUAUGUACUCACACAUUACUAUAUACAAAGGGCUGUAUUUUAAUUACCCUAGAGUUUGAAUUAUUGUAUUCGUUGGAGAAGAAUGGAGUUCCUGGAACAUCUUACUCAUACUCUUUAUUUAUUGUAUGUUUAUAGACACAUUUCAUAUGUCAUAAACAUGAAAAUCCAAUGCUAUUGGCCAAACUGUUUCAUGGUACCUUCCCAAUAAGCUUUUUUUUGUUGUUGUUGUUUGACAUUCAGAUUGAAGCAUAUUAUGUAGGAGGUAAUGUUCAAUUCCUCAAAUA